UCGGGUGCUCGGUCUGGUCCAGUUCCCGUCACAUCCGCAACGGUGUUCGUCUCCUUGAUCUGCAUCACUAGCAACUCCGGUACAUCGCCCCCUUCUUGAUCCCGCCCCUAUCGUCCUCUUCUUCUUCCUUUAUAUAAUGGUUUGAUGUGGUUCCUCUUUCCUGAUGAGCCGAGGCGCCGUGACCCGGCCUCACAGCCACGGGAAGGAGUGACGACUCCCCAACUCUGCGGCAUGGUGUGGUUGGCCAGUUCGUCACCAAGUCCCCAACGUUGUCACCAGCCGGACCUACUACGAUGCUAAGAUGAGUCUUCCUCUAUAAAGGCUUCUGUUCAAAUUAUAAUGGAUCUAUUAUUCUAACCAGCAAGCAAUUUAAGUAGCAAGUUGGUUUCUCGAUUGUUAGUUGUAUCAUUGUCCAACACUGACACUAAUUGACAGACAACCAUGACCAUCAAUUUAAUUUAUUUUUUAGUUUCCAACUAUUUUUCCAGCCAAGGCUCAAUAUAUACUCUGCUAUGAAACUUACCUACGACCAUGACUUGACUCUUGGUUGUGAAUUAUAAAUGGAGAACAUGCGGCCAAUAUUUUUGAAUGAAUUUGCUCAUGAUUUGUCUGGUUAUUGUUCACUAUGGGUGCAUGGCUAUUUUUGGGUUUGAGCCUUAGGCAUGCAACAAUGAGAUAUAUUUGUAUUGUCUUGUUGACUACAUAAUCCGAAAUCAUUCAUCAAUUUUGAUCCUAAAUCUUAUCACAAUACUUUUGAUACAACAAAAAUUAUUUUAACUUGCCAUGUGGAAAAUCAAGUAAGAGCAUAUCCAUGUGUAUGUUUCCUAUGAAUGGUACGGGAUUUGCAAACUUAUAAGGUAUUAGAUGUUUGACAAAUAUUUUUAACCAAAAUUGUUUGAAUUAUUUGUUCUGAUAUGGCUGUUUGACUGAUUGCAAUGUUGUUUGUUUGUAGUUUUUUUCAAGUGUGUAAGCAUAGAUUUACAUUUUGUACACCGGUGCAACGCACAUGACUUUUAUUACAUGAAAGGACUUAUUAUUAUGACUAUUAUAAUAUUAAGAUUUUCAUAAGUGUUUGUUUAUUUGUUUGUUCUCUGCCAUGUUAAGAAUUGCAUGCAUGCUUUUUUUGCUAUAUAAUGUGCUUCAGAAAAUCACGUGUUCAGAAUUGCAUGCAUAAUUUUGUAGGUGAACAUAUGGAAAAUGCAAGAUAAAUCAUACUUUUGAUAGUAUAUCUCAACCAAACAUGAUCCUAGUAUAACAACUAUUACACUUUUAGAGAAUAUAAAGAUCCAGAAUUGUUCGUACCUAGAGGAACUCGCCUUAAAUAUGCUCCUUGCUUACACAAGGUACUCCUUGGGAAAUUUUCGUCCAGGUCAGCUGUUGUGAUGGCUGAAGGAAGAGCAAGGAGGGGGAGGAGGGAUGGCAGAGAAGGUUAACAUAUAUAGUUGUAAUAUCUGAGAGACCACACAAGUUUGAUGAAUGCUGUCAAUUCCAGAUUAUCCAUGGUUUCCCAAUGCCAAAGCUUUUAUUAUACACCCCGUUCGACUGUAUAUUAACUCACUUUACAAGACAUUCGACAUGAAGCUAUUAUAAUACAUCCCGUUAGACUGUGUAAAUGUGUUCAUUUACCAACCUAACCUUGGUGAAUCUACAAUCAGGGGCAGCCUUGAUGCCUUCUCAUGUAAGAGAACACAUACAAUUUAAUCAGCUGGUUAUCAGAGACAUCAUGAGCAUGACAGAGAAAUGUGGAUCAUGUGCGAACUUGAAGAUCAAAGGCAAUUGAAGGAUGUGAAGAAAAAAGGAAAAAGAACUCCUAGCGAUGGAAGCCGAUCUUAACAAAAGAUAAAAGGUGCAAGAACCAUUUGAUGGAACCUUCACUUUGAGGCUGUUGAAACUCAGUUGGGAUAGAAACCUUGACUAUUGCAUGGAACCAAUUAGAUGCAAGUGUCAUAACUACCUGUUGUUUAUGUCACUUUGAGGCUGGAAACUGAAGUUGUGAUCUACAAACUCGAUGCACUUGCCAGAUGCUACUGCUGAUGACACCAUCUCCGAGGGCCGUCACCAGCCCCAGACUCCUAGAGUAGAAGUCACCUGCAAGAUACCUGGGAGUCAGUUAUGUGCACAUAAACUGAGAUCCUUGCAGGCAAAAGAGAUGAGUGUUGCCACUUGAUGCUUAUUCUGACACCGGCAACGAGAUGAUUCACCACCUGCAAGCAUUCAAUCAAGAAGAGUAAAGAAUUUGGGGCUGACAAAUCGAUCAAAGCAGGUUCUCACAUCUUGCACAGUAUGACCACGGUACCGAUCAGAGAUCACAAAGUCAGUCUUGGCACCGUAUGAUCAUCUGAUCAGAGAUCAAGAUUUGUAAGGGUUAGCAGUAGGAUUUGUAUUGUAAAGGUUUAAAUACAUAAACGCGAAACCUAGGAGGGUCACACCGGUCCAUAUCAGCUAAUCUCAGAGGGAUUGUAACACCCUCGAUGCGACUAUAGCUCCCACGUAUCGAGGCACGACUUAGAGACAUAAUCGCAUUGAAGGCAUAUGUCGCA